rnacentral:rRNA from 1 species
CCAAUAGCGUAUAUUAAAGUUGUUGCAGUUAAAAAGCUCGUAGUUGAAUUUCGGGGUCAGUAGAUUGGUCAUGCCACUGGUAUGUACUGGUCUCACUGAUUCCUCCUUCCUGAUGAGCCGUAAUGCCAUUAAUUUGGUGUUGCGAGGAAUCUGGACUGUUACUUUGAAAAAAUUAGAGUGUUUAAAGCAGGCUAACGCUUGAAUACAUUAGCAUGGAAUAAUGAAAUAGGACGUUCGAUCUUAUUUUGUUGGUUUCUAAGAUUGACGUAAUGAUUAAUAGGGAUAGUUGGGGGCAUUAGUAUUCAAUUGUCAGAGGUGAAAUUCUUGGAUUUAUUGAAGACUAACUACUGCGAAAGCAUUUGCCAAGGAUGUUUUCAUUAAUCAAGAACGAAAGUUAGGGGAUCGAAGACGAUCAGAUACCGUCGUAGUCUUAACCAUAAACUAUGCCGACUAGGGAUUGGACGAUGUUAAUUUUUUAAUGACUCGUUCAGCACCUUACG